CAUUUAACCAGAGUGAGCGAGAGAAGAAACAAACAGUGGGAGAAGAUGUCUCACGCACACUGAAGUUAGACCACUGCAAAACUGAGCCAGACGGCUUUGUUGUGCAGCUUUCUGAUGCCUCCAGGGGACAGCUGCUUAUCGGAGGGAGACUAUUAUGGGGUUGGGGCUGGAGAUGUUCCAUGCAGCAUCCUGCAAGGGGAAGCAGUUACUUUAUGAGAGCGAUGCUUCAACCAGCUAACUGGAUAGCCCUCCCUUUUGCAGCUGGUGUGGGUGAAGAUGUGGAAGCUUGAUUCUCCUUGGAAGCUCUGAUCACCCCAGCCCAGAACCACUAGUCCCCACUUAGUCUUGGAGAGGAGGCAAGGAUGUGUGUCCUCUGCGUGUAGCCUUACGGUCUGCAAAUGCUUAUGAAAACCUAUGAAAGAGAGACUAUUCAUUUUAGUUCCAUUUUAGA